rnacentral:rRNA from 2 species
GGUCGCCAACGAGUGGCGGACGGGUGAGUAACACGUAGGUAACCUGCCCAGAAGCGGGGGACAACAUUUGGAAACAGAUGCUAAUACCGCAUAACAACGUUGUUCGCAUGAACAACGCUUAAAAGAUGGCUUCUCGCUAUCACUUCUGGAUGGACCUGCGGUGCAUUAGCUUGUUGGUGGGGUAACGGCCUACCAAGGCGAUGAUGCAUAGCCGAGUUGAGAGACUGAUCGGCCACAAUGGGACUGAGACACGGCCCAUACUCCUACGGGAGGCAGCAGUAGGGAAUCUUCCACAAUGGGCGCAAGCCUGAUGGAGCAACACCGCGUGAGUGAAGAAGGGUUUCGGCUCGUAAAGCUCUGUUGUUAAAGAAGAACACGUAUGAGAGUAACUGUUCAUACGUUGAC